UACGUAGGGCGCAAGCGUUGUCCGGAAUUAUUGGGCGUAAAGAGCUCGUAGGCGGUCUGUUGCGUCUGCCGUGAAAACCCGGGGCUUAACCCUGGGCCUGCGGUGGAUACGGGCGGACUAGAGGUAGGUAGGGGAGAAUGGAAUUCCCGGUGUAGCGGUGAAAUGCGCAGAUAUCGGGAGGAACACCGGUGGCGAAGGCGGUUCUCUGGGCCUUACCUGACGCUGAGGAGCGAAAGCGUGGGGAGCGAACAGG
rnacentral:rRNA from 1 species